rnacentral:misc_RNA from 1 species
GUGAAUCAUCGAAUUUUUGAACGCAAAUUGCACUCUCUUCGGAGAGUAUGCCUGUUUGAGGGUCAGCCUAAAAAAAAUCGACAUAGUUGCUUUUACUCGAUAACAUUCGUCGUAAAUUGGUUCAGCUUAAACCUUUUUUUUGAAUCGGCUUAAUAUUCUCGUUACGUUUCCAGGAACGUUUCUAA